CGAACCGGGAAGAGCCCAG
rnacentral:snRNA from 1 species